UGUUUAUAUACAUGCAUGCAUAGGUGAAAACCACCACAUACAUAGGUGAAAAUCACCUACACACAUACACCUCGCUUAAAUACAGAUGUGCAUGUGUAGGUGAAAGCCACAUAAACAUGCCAAACAUGGCCUUGUGCUCGUAGCUCAUGGUUGAUCCUAACGAUUUUCCUGUUUACAUCUGCAAGUGCCGUGUUAGAAGCAGUCUUCAAUAUUAUCUUUAGGCCGACUUCCUAAGGUCAUCUCCACAAAAUAUUUACGUAACCAAUCAACUGCUCCAAAACAAUUCCUCACCCAAUAAGCAAUCUCAACAUGUCCCAUAAAUUGCCUAGAAAAAUAGUCCACCUUUUUAUUACAAUUCAACAUCAUUUCAACGUUCAAGACAUCUAAUUGAAUCCAACAGCAAAGCCAUUGCACUUCCACAUUUUCUUCAUCUGCUAGCAAUCCACGACCACUUAAAACCAAUCUCAGGCCAAAAUUUAAGUGCAAAUCAGAAUAAUCAAAUUCCUAUACAAACAUUAAGCACAGAGAAAACAUUAAAAUAACUUUAACAACAUUAAUUUGUCGGGCCACUAACACAAAUAAUCAAACAACCCAUUGAACAAACGCCAGAAUGGGAUUUUCGACACCUACGCAAACUACUAAAUAUUCAUCAAUUCGAAAAUAGAAAGAAGAGAGCGAGAAAUUUAUUUGAAGAUAAGCUAGUAUAAGGGCUACUGUUUCAAUACCUGAUCCUCCUUGAGGAAAAGAGUGAUCUUGGUGCCCCGUCCGAGGUUCUCCCCAGAGGUAUCCCUCGUCACAGUGAACGACCCACCGGCCUGGGACUCCCACACGUACUGCUCAUCAUCAUUGUUCUUUGUGGUCACCACCACCUUCUCAGCUACAAGGUAGGCAGAGUAGAACCCCACUCCGAACUGGCCAAUCAUGCUAACAUCGGCCCCGGCCGCGAGCGCCUCCAUGAACUCCUUGGUCCCGGACCUAGCAAUAGUACCAAGAUUGUUGACCAGAUCGGACUUAGUCAUACCAAUACCGCUAUCAAUGAUGGAGAGGCUGUUGGAGGCCUUGUCGGGGACGAUGUGGAUGAAGAGCUCCGGCUGGGCGUCGAGCUUGCUCUUGUCCGUGAGGCUCUCAAACCGGAUCUUGUCCAGCGCCUGUUAGGGUUUCAGAUCAGCAACAAGAAUAAAUCAAAGAAGAAAGAAAAGAGAUCCUUGAGUUAGGGAUCGAGCGAGGGACGGACUCACAUCGGAGGCGUUGCUGAUGAGCUCGCGAAGGAAGAUCUCCUUGUUGGAGUAGAAGGUGUUGAUGAUGAGGCUGAGGAGCUGGUUGAUCUCGGCCUGGAAGGCGAAGGUCUCCGUCUCACCCGCCAUGGCUGAGGAGCGAGGUCGAAGAGAGAGAAAGUUGAAGAGAUUUGGCUUGGAAGAGAAGAGCGAGAGAGGGCUAGGGCUCGACAAUUGGGAGCCGCUACGGGAGAUCUAGGGUUUACGGAGAGAACGAGUCUAUAUAGAGAAGAGGCGCGUGCUUCUAGAUUGUUCUGAAGCCACAAAGCCGGAGGAGGGAGGUUGACCAGGUCUCCGAAUGGUAGGGAGGGCGGCGUGGAAGAUAUUUCAUUUACAUGGACUCGGGUAUGUAUGUAUGUAUGUAUGGUAGUUGUCAGGCAUACCAGGUAUGUAUGUAUAGUAGCUACCAUGUAUGUAUAUAUGUAUGUAUGGUAGCUACCAGGAACAUUAGAUAUAUAGUUUCCUCUCAUUAUGUCAUGUAGAGUUUAAAUAAGCUUUCAAGUAAAGCCUAAAUUAUGUAAGUACUUGGAUUUUCACAAUCAAAAUGAAUAUUAAAGAGAAAGAAAGACUUGACAAAUAACCUUGCUGAACUUAUGUGGAAGGGGGAUCCAACAUCGCAAGACUUUGAGGGGUCCAAAGACAAACUCUUUUCAAGUGGAAAUUUUAAUGAUUCUCCCUUCUAAGUUAAAAUUUUGAGUAAAUUAUAUAACAAAAAAAUUGAAGUAAAUUAACUUAUACGAAAAGUCAAAAUUGAUCUUGAGUGAUGAGUAAAUUACAAAAAGCCCGUAAAAUUAGAAGUAAAUUAUACUUGCAUUCAAUAAUUUAAAAAAUCUAUACUUAUCUGAAGUUUGUUUUUAUCCGAUACUUUAACUCAUAGAUUAACAGAACGUUAACCAAACCAUUAACUUAAAUGUGACUAAAUGCCAUGUCAGAAAAUUUUAGAAAAAGACUAAACUAGCCUUAAGUAAUAUAACAACCACCUAAGAAGGAGAACAGCCGUGAGGCACCAUAGAUCUGAGCUUCAUCUUGAUGAAUUAUCAAAAAUUAGUCAUGUACCAAAAAAAAUAAUAUAGAUCUCUAAAGAAGUAGAUGCCUCUAAAUUUUUCUGCUGCACGAAAGUAGGAAACUAACAUUAAGAGUUUUGUCGCUUAAGUCAUACUUAUCCGUGGUUUAAGCUAGGCUAUGGAACCACAACUGAUACACCCUCCAAAAAGAAGAGUUUGUACUAAUUUGGAUCCUUUUGAUAAUAAAAUCCUAGAGUUAUUAUAGCUCCAUAUGCAGAUAUAGGAAUCCUCGUUCACAAUGACAAUGUUAAGGAAUAAUGUCUAUAGACAAGUAGAACUCAAAAUCAGCAAAUAAUACACUAGCAUCUCCGAUCUCUAUGACAUGGUGCGCGGGAAAGCGAGAACAAAACCUGAUCGAAAAGGAUGGAGGUUGGUACAAAAGGAUGCUCGUCGUCAGAUGUUAGUUAGAAAGAAAAUUUGUUGUUAGUCGCUCGUCAAAAAAGAACGCUUGUCGAGAAGAGACGCUCGUGGUGGGUUGGUGAAGCGGAAAAGAAUUGCUAGCUGCUUAAUCUCAAAGAGAAGAAGACUUUUGAAGAUAUAAUACUUCGAAGAGUUACGAAAGUCGAAAAAGUAAAAGAAGAGCCUUAUUUUCUUAUAGAGGUAAUUUUGACGUUUUAUAAUAGAUAAAUAGUUUUACUAACGCUGUCAAUUUAAAUGAGUGUAAGUGUAGGUAUUUACAAAAUAUUGGGUGUAAAUAUAAUAAACAUAAAUCUCAAGAAGGUUUUUGUAAGGUUAUUUUGGUUAUUUUUAAAAAAAUUUCUAACAUGGCAUUUGAGUCUUGUUAAAAGUCAACAGUUUGACUAACAUUUUAUUAAGAUAUGAGUUGAAGAUUUAAAUAAAAAUAAACCUUAGGGAGGUAAGUGUAGACUUUUCAUACUAUUGGGUGUAAAUGUAAUCUACUCCUAAUCUCAGAAUAGUUUUUGUAAUUUACUCUAAAAUUUUUAUGAUUCUAUAUAUAAUAAAAAUCUUAUACUUUUUAAUAUUUUAAAACUCCUAGCAGUCACAUAGAUUUGCAUGUGUAUUACGACUAAUAGCACAAAAAGCUCCUUUCAUGCCAUAAUAUAUAUGCAUAAAGUAUGUUUAAAAACAUAAUUUUUCUCUAGCCGGAUAAUGCAAACACUAGAUGAUCAUUUCCACCACUAAAGAUUUCACAACUCUAUACACACCACUACCAUCCAACCAUUGAACUCAUGCAACAGCAAUACAUGACAUAGAGAAAAGAAAAAUGGAAAAGAAAAAUAGCACAGAAGGAAUAAGGAAUCACCUUAUGGAAGAAAAUAAAUAGGAAACAAUAACAGAAAUUUCAACUCCAUCUAUGCCUUCAUCUGAUUGUCCCUUAAUAAAUACUCUAUUAUUUUAUAAAUGCAUCUCUCUUGGUUUAGAAGGUUUACCAGCCAGAAGUAGGGAAAGCAUUAAUCAAGCCAAAUGAUAGUGAGAAACUUUGAUCAAUAGAUUUUUUUAAAAAAUAAAAAGAGAAUUUCAACUACUAUGAGAGGCAUCUACAGUGAAUUGGAGCUUAUCCUAGGAGUCGCAUCCCUCUGCUUAACAACCAAAAAAUCUAGAAAUGAGUAUCGUUUGACACAUUCCCAAGUAUUUGGACUUGGAUAACAAUAGUGCAGGUGGAUCUCCCUCCCUUCUUUCAAAUAAAUCAAUAUUAGCUGCAGACGUAUCAUCAAAACACAAAAGACUAGCAAAUUCAGGUGAGACGGCACUCUCAAUCGGCAGCCUCAUCCCUUCCACAAUUAGAAAACCAAUCAAUAGAAAGUUUGCACCCAUUCAUGCUUCCUCUCAUGUAAUUAUCGCCAGCUCUUUGUCCACCAACAUGACAAUCAUAGAGGGUUUCAUCUUCAAGCCUCUUGGGAUUCCGUAGCAACCUCCAAAUGGGGAAGGUUUGGUGUUUAAACCUGCAAUGUUUCCCCCAAGUAUUUAGCACCGAUGAGCCUCACAUUAUUUCUCUGAAAUAAAUGGUGUCACUUGCAGCAUUGUUCUCCUAAAAUCCAGUGACAAAAAGAAAAGUUANNNNNNNNNNNNNNNNNNNNNNNCUGAAGCCAAAUAUGAUUUCAGCAGUUAACUAGCAAGCAAUAAUAUAACUCUGAAAAUAAGAUGGUGGAAACCUGAUCAAAGAUAGAUAGAGGAAUGCCAAUCAGGUUGGGCAGCCUGUUUUCUGUUUCAUGCACUAACCGAUGCUCUGUUAUCAAAUCACCAAAGAAGGACAUCAAGCCAGCCCAUGCUCUGAGAUCAGUUCAUGAGUCAUGACGCUUCCAGUCAAGGCCUGGGCUAGAGCAUCAUGAGACAAGAAAGCAACUUGUUUGGGUUUCAAAUAAGUUUCAGAAAUACAAGCCGGGAGCAAUAGCAUCUCAAACCUGCCACACCGUGUCUCCAGUGGAUUUGCAAAUUGCAAUAUAAUAUUCAAUACAGACUGCAACCCAAGAAUUGCAAAAACCCACCUAUCACCCUUUUGAGAUACAAUUUCUCAUCAAAACAAAUAAAAGACUAAACUUGGUAUCUAAAGGAGUGUCAGAGAAAAAUGAAAGAUGCCAUCUAUAUUCAGCUGCUAUUGAAACAUCAAAUUUUCCAACAAAUGAUAGUACUUGAUUUCUUUCAUUGUUUUGGUAGCCUCCUCUCUACUAGUUGGAUAUAUUUUAGUUUGCACAUUACCUUUGAAUUCAAGCAACAGUACGAGUAUAAUAAAGAACCGAAGCUAGAACUGCUAUUUGGACAAGCAUUGGGAAAGCCUUGAAAAGAAUAACAUUUACAAAUGAAAUUUUAACUCCCAUACAUUCCAUUUUUGGACUCAUCAGUUCUUGCUGAAAAGAUCUCACCAUGUAUUGUGAUAAUUGAAAAUAUCUUCUGCCAGAUAAUGGAAGGAAUAAGGUUCAGACAAGAACCUGUUUUGCCCAAAUCUUAACCAUUAUUGAACUCACCAGGCCCUCUAACAAUUGAAAGAACAGACCGACUCUAUACAAGAAACCCUUCCUGCUUUUGGUUUCUCUUUAUUUAGAUAAGAUAUGGAAGAAGAAAAAAAUUGUCUUCUCACUAUGGUGUAUGCUGAAUAGACUUGGAAGAAAUGUAGUUGCGUAGAAACAGUUUCCUGUAGUACAAUCAAGUAUCACCACUUGUCUUGCCUGACUUUACACAGUUUUGCUUCUGUUGAAUUAGAUGGCUUCUUAAGCUGCACUCCUUCACCUGGAUGACAAGUAACAGUAAAUCUUUUGAUACUGUUAAUCUCCUUAAUUUUGUUACUAAUGAACUUAUAGCAUAAAUGCAUCAAUUAAUUAGAGGGGAAAAAACAACUACAAACCUAUACAGAUAUUUGUUAGUUUAAGAUUGCAAAAGGGAAAUUUGUGUACAUAUAGGUAUGUGGAACACAAACUGAUGUUUGCCUUAGUAAGUGCAUUAAGAAAAAGAGAGAAAAAACCAAAUGGAUGCUUUAACAGUACGCACUAGCUUAUAGGAAAAUAGCAUGGAGACACACCUGCAACUCAUGUACCAUGGAUAUGAGAUAUCUGAACUCUUCAAACAAUGCUCUUUCUCUGCUUACUACCAUUGCCAGGUCUGAGAUUAUAUCAUCCACCCCUUCCACCUAUACACAUUCCAAACGUAUAAAUGCACACAGAAAAGGAAGAUAGAAUUAUGGAGCCAAAAGACUUGCCAACUGAAACCAAGGAUUUGAAAGACAUCAUUUACUUUAAUCUUGCAACUUAAAAUUAAAACCAUAAAAGCUACAUUCAGAGUUAUUCAUCUAAUUCUCAUGUUCCUGAGUGGAACAAUUUAUACGUGCCUAAUCUAUAACAUUUUCAUAUGCAUACCCUACAAAAUUCUUCCCAGGGAUCCAUCACCAACUCACUCCUUGGAGAUUAAGUAUCUUAAAAUUUAUCAAUCACAUCCAAGUUACUCUUCUACAUGCCUAGUCAAACUGAAAUGAAGAUGGAUUCAAAGAAAUUUUUCUCAUACACACCUGUGGUAGAAACCUCCCGACACAAGAAGAUGAUUCCUCCAGUAUAUCCAACACAGAUUUCAGAACUUCAACAAGCUCACUGAUAUCUGCCUGCAAAUUUGACAGUCCAAAGUUUACAAUAAGCAUAGUGUAAAAACAGAAACCGAUGACAAGGAGUAGAAAAUGAAGAAAAAGCCUAUGGAUAAUAUACCUUCACAUCCCCGAUGACAGGAAGUCGAAGUGAAGCAUCCUGCAGAACCUUUAUCGCCCCUGAAAGAGAACUUGAAUGAUCUCCUUCAAGACCAGUCCAUUGAUCCAAAUAUGGCAUCUAAAUAGAAAAAAUAAAAGAAAAAUUAAUCAGCUUAUUGGAUUUUAAGGUGGUAGACCACUUUUUUUUUUUUUCCUUAAACUAAACCUUGUUUUACAUCAACUCAUUAAAAGUAUGUAAGACUGAAGAGAUGCAUUUCAUUCCCUUGAAAAAUAUAAAAUAUUUAACAAAGAAAAUAUUAACACUGGAAGUACCUAAUAUCAUUAUAAACGCUAUGAAGUUUACUUAUGUGGAACUUGCACUCUAGACCUUGCUAUUCCACCAGCUCUCAUUCCUUCAUAGCUUUAGGUAACUAAUCUACUUGCAACCUGAAAUUCUCACCUAUUUUCAGGAAACAGCAACUGAAAAGCAUCCUUAGGAAUAUUUCUCUGUUGGGUAUUAAGGACCGAUCAAUAUAACAAUAUACAAUUGCCAAGGAAGAUGGAAAAGAAAAAAAAGGGAACACCCACUAAAAGAAUAUCAUGAAAGGAAAACAGAAAUGAGGAUGUAAAAUUAUCAUUGGAACUGGUAUGACGCAUGAAAUCAUAACAAAUGCAUAAUUAGCACUUUAUUCAUGAAAAAACAUUGCACAUUCAGCAAGCAGUUCAUCUGCUUGUCUAUAAAAUACUACUGCUGUAAAAGCUUGUAUAAUGAUGUCAUAAGAAGAUCAAAAAAUGAUAGGAAGCUCAGUAUUAAUUUGAAAAUCAUUUAUUAGACUAUGUGACUUGCAAAGGCCCCACAAAUUUGCCUUCUAAGAUUCUCAACAAUGCCCAACAACUUCGAGGCCUAACUUUGUGAUAUUCUGGAGUGUCCAGAAAGCAAGGAAAAACUGAUGCUUGGAAUGCAUGGUUUCUACAUAACCUAGAUUGUUUAGCACCCAAAGGAUAGAUUUUAAUAGUUACCGCUUUUAAUAGCUAGUGAAAUUCAUGCAAACCUGCCCAUGGUUCUGAUUGUUUUAUUUGUUAUACUUCAUAUCAUACAGAAAAAUAAUUUAAACCUCUCUUUUGUAAAUAGUAAAUUGAUUUUAUCAUUGAUAUAUUGAUAGAUGCUAGCCAACACAUCCAUAUUGAUUUCCAAUAAACUGAAACCAAAUAAUAUUUUUUCUAGGAAAUACCACCAUUGCGGAAUAGAUGUUAAUACUUAAAGACUAACAAGCAUAAAUGUAGUUUUCUCAUUUAUAUUUCAAAACUGUUCCUCUCCUUUUUCACUUUUUUACCACCAUCGUGGAACAGUGGUUAAUAAUUAAAAACUAACAAGCUUAAAUGUAGUUUUCUCAUCAUCUUUCAAAACUGUCCAUCUUCCUUUUCACUUUCUUAAACAGUUCUCCCUUUUUGAAGCCUACAAUCUGUUAAAAGAUCAAGUAAAACUUAUGUACUCAUAAAGGAAAGCCCUUCCUUCAGGAAGUUAAUGGUGAUCAGGAGAUGUAUAAAAUUGCUCUUAGUCCCCUAUUGGGAGAGGACAGCUGAAGCAAACAGGACAUCUAUAUGUUGAAUCAAUAGCAUCAUCCUAGACCAAACAAGCCUAUCUGAACGAACCAGCUGAACAAAAUUCUUGUAAUUAUUCUUUUAUAGUUGCUCCAUCAAAACCUAAAGCCCGCAGUUUUGGAGAUGUUAUUAAAAAGAAUAUGCAUAAAGAUGUCCUCUUUCAUCCCAGCCAUCCUCUUUAGGCAGAGGAUCAAAACAAAAAGGAAAUAAAGCUUAUGACCUUAGGACACAAGAGCUACCAUCUCUGACAGGUUAGAGGUGUUAAUAGUUAACUAGUUGUGUCAUCUCACGGAUGCUAACAAAGACAUUAUUGACAUUUCAUAUAAUUUUAAAAACAAUUUUAGAUUUGUCCUACGAUGACAAGGCCAAUGCCUCCAAUGGUACAGUUGAAAAGACAUUACUACAUGAUCAUUUGGUUAUUGUUACCUUUAGGCUGGUCUACUAUAGAGGUGCAAUUGAGCCAAGCCAAGCCAAGUCGAGUAACUAGAGGCUCGAGAUCGACUCUAUUCAAAAUACUCAAGCUUGAAACUCGACUCAAGAUUAAUUGAGUCUUAAUAUCCAAGCUCAAACUCGAUUCGAUCAAAAAAAAAAAAAUCGAGAUCAACUCGACUUGACUUGAAAAUGAACCAAGCCAUACUCGAGCUCGAGUUCAAGCUGAAAUUUGAGCCUCGGUCAUAAUUAAAAAAUAUGGUUAAAACAAAAUAAAACAAAAUAUUAUAUUUUAAAUAUUAAAUUAAUAAUAUAUAUAUAAAUAUAAUAUUAUAAAAAAUAUAUACACUUGACUAGGCUCAUGAGUCUUUGAGCCGAGUAUUUUGCUAUUCAAGCUUAACUCGAAAAACUGUUCGAGCUACUCAAGCUCGGUAAUAGUCGAGUCGAGUCGAGCUUGGAUACAAGUUAAGCUCGAGCAAUUCGCGAGCUACUCGGCUUAUUUGCACCCUAGUCUAGUGGAGACAUCAAGACCGAGUAUUUUAAUUUUAUGACUCAUGUGAUUUGAGUUAUUAAUUUUAUGACUCAUGUGAUUUGAGUUAUUAAAACGAUGAAAAAGGUUAACUUCACCUAUCAACUAAUCAUUUGAUGAGAUAUUUGAUCUGUUAUAGUAAACUAUAUUUGAUAGUUCCAAUUACAAAAACACUGCUUGAUGCUAUCUAGCUGAACGUGAAUAUAUCCUCUAUGGCAUUCAGUAUGUUGGACAAAACGAUGAUAAACUUGCAUUUUUCAUGGACUUGUCCCUUGUAAGUGUUACAUACUAUGCUAUCAAAAAUUCCAAGAAAUCAUGUGACGCAAUGGUAAAAUGCAAGGAAUAUCAAAGUUUAAUCAAUAAAUCGUUUGGCCUUACUUGAUCUUCAACAAUAGCUUGCAAAUUUCUUUCUCUUUUAAGCUUUUCAAGUUCAAUCCUCUUCACCGCAACAGAAUCUCGCAGUUCUGAUAACUUAGCUUCAUGGCUAUAAAGUGAUAUCUGCAGAAAACAAAAGUUGGUCAAUUCAAUCCGUAGUUGCACAUAAAGAAAGCGAGCAAAAAAUCAUUGGAACAAAACCAUAGUCAAAGGAAUAAUCAAAUAAAGUUUCUUUUCCAAACUUGCCAAUCAGGUAAAGUAGUAGACCACUAAAACAACGAUAAAACCUAGAAGCACACUUUUUUUAUGGUAAAGGAACUAUAAUACCGAAUAGUUAUUCUGACAGUUAAACUAUAGUACAGCAGAAUGCCAACUUUUAGCGCCAUUAUCAAUCCAUAUUACUGUUCUCAUGCGAAAUAAUUUAAAAUUAGACUACUAAAUCAAACAAGGAAUCUAGGGGUGUUCCAACCGUAAAGGCCAUACUGGUAUAUUCCUUCAUUGUGGUUCUCAUGAAGUUAUACCAACAAAUCUCAUAGCUACUAUUGCACAAUCUUCAAGAAGUUCAAUGCAUGCAAAUUACCCUAAAAUUGAUAGAAAUUAACCAACCUCUGCUGCAAUGGUCCGAGCGUUAACUGCUGCCUGUGCUUUUGCAUUGAUGAAUCUCCACUGAAGAUUACAGUUAUGCAGUAGGCGGAGCGAAUGAAUGUCUUCCUGAUGGUUCAAUGCCUUCUUACCCUUCUUCAAGUCCAUCCCUAGCUUACUGCUCGGUGGUCGUGGAGGCAGUCCGAGUGCCACUGGUCUUGCUGUGCUAGCUAGAGAUUCCAGCAGAACAAGAGGUCUACAGGCAGACUUGGUUGGAUUGAAGGGCGGCUGUUGACAAUUUGACACAGUCAAACUGAGCGAGUGGUGGAAGGGAGAGGAUGACACCCUUCGAGAAGAAUCCUCGGGGUUAUGCCUACCCAAGCCCCCAUCCUCUGACGACUGCCUUGCCGACAUGUUUAGCAGGUGAUCCAACUCAACCUGGAUUCUGGAAUUCUUCUGACCGAGGAGCCGAGGGCUCUCGCAGAACUCACCCUGACCACUGGCAGCACACAAUUCAGCUUCAGAGGGAUCAGCCGAAGAACUCUCUGAUGAUGUUUCGACUGGCUAACUGCUGCUAUGUUCCUCUAAAGGGAAAGGGCUCCCUCGAGCUGGGGUGGCAAUCGCAGCUUUGCUCCCCUGAGCUACAAUCCUCUUUAAAGAAGCCGCCCCAAAAUUCAUUGAUCUCAGAAGGUUUUGGCUCAAAGAUGACUGCUUUGGGGUACAAUUAGCACCAACACUACCCUGAUCACCAGCACAUACCAUGGGAGUGCCAGGCCUCGGCUUCCCUGACUGAAGCUUCCCGUCCACGAGCUUCACCCGCUUCACAGUCUUCUGCUGCUGCUGAUGAUGCUCUUCGACCCCAUUUUCACCAAAUAGCCUUACAACCCGUUUCCUCUCCGUUCCAACGGCCUUGCUCUGGAUCCCGAGCGGCAGAGGAGUCACCAAGUCUAGUUUUUCCUCCGCCGCCGCCGUCAUCCCGGGCCGGUUCUCGUCGGCAAAAUAUGAAGAGGGCUGCGAUUCCAGAUCACCAGCAUCGGCGAUGGUAGACGGAGGGACUCCGGGGUCCCGGCGAUGCUUCUCUUGGUGAUGAUGCUUCCUGAGGAGGGGGAAAGAGGGGUCUCCAGAAGAGAGAAGAAAGGAAAGAGAGGAAGGGAUGGGAGUGGAAGAUGAAGAAUUGGACGGUGUCGAUGAUAAGUAUCUGGAGCUGACCUCCCUCCGCCGCCGCCGCCGCCGCCGGGCUCGCUUCUCGGUCGCCGCCGGUUUGGGCAUUAGCUGGAGGUGGUCUUCUUGGGUGGGAGGAGGGGGGAUGGAGGGGGGUUCUUGAGGGGAAGGGGGUUUGGAGAAGGGUUCCAUGAGGGUCGCUGGUUUUCUCGAUCAAUUCCAAGAGAGAUUGGAUCAAGGAGGGGCGGAGCGAGACACCGAAACAGACUCGGCGUCAGAGAAGAAAAGAUCGAAACAAAGAGGGAAACAGACUCGCUACAGUGAGAUUGGAGGGACACGCAACGGUUCAGCGAAGGGUGGGUCUACCAGUGUUGGAAAUCAAAAGAUUCGGUUUUUAUUUUUGGAAGGAUGGAGAGGGAAUGAAGAUCUGGGAUAGGUUCUGUGAAUCUACGGGAGAUGGCAACGGUCGGCAGACUCGGAUCCGGGAUAGCGGACACCGUCGCCAAUUUGUAGCCCGUUCAAAAAACAUCGCUUAUGGGUGCCUGUUGGAUUUGAAUUUCUCCGACCAGGCCAACCCUGGAAUCAAGAAUAAUUCUGAAUUAGCUCCAUGCCACGUGGGACGAGAAAAUUAGUACGAUUCAGAGACAAGUUCUGCACCGAGGGAUUUUUGAUGCAAGGCAAAUUUAUUUGACCUAAUUUAAAACCUAAUCCAACGCAUUGUCAUCGUAGUGGCAUCUCAUCUAGAAUUAAGUUCGCUUAUUAACUAGAAGAAAGAGUGAACAAAAGAGGAAAGAUUCAGCUAUGAGCCAAUGAUCUUACAAGUAUCACCUGAAUCAUAAUAGGGCCUAAGCAACUGCUGAAUGGUCAUAAAUUAAGAGCAAACGUCAUUAUUUUAGGUAAUAACUGGAAGGCGAGCCCCUUCCACAAGCCUACAGUAUUAGGCCAAUAGGCCGACUUAAACAAGAACAAACCAACCACAAUAAUGUUGGAGGCUAGGAUGCACUGGUUUCUCUAAAUCAAUUUUUUUUUCCCCUAAAACCCUGCGAACGGUGAUUAAUAGAAGCAAUACCUUAAUAAACCCCAACUGCAACCAAAUCUCCCAGUUAAAAUCACUCAAUGUAUUACCACAACUUCCAUUCAAAAAAUAUACUUGCUGUUAAAAAGCAGCAGAAUCGAAUCAGUUGUGGAGUUGUUCUUACACUGCUUUUCAGAGCACUCUCUACAUUUCAAAACCACGAUGAUUUUACAGUAACCAUGAUGAAAGAUCAUAAUCUGGAUAUGCAGCACAGUUGAACGAAUUACAGUUUGAAUAGAAACCCAAAUGGACAUUCAUGAACAGUACUGCUAUCAAUUGCUUUUCCGUAUCAUAAGUAGAUGUAUACAUAUCAAGCUAACUGAAACUUCUCGUCAUUUAGAGAGAUCAUACCGUGCUGUUAUGUGAUAUUUUUCUCUAUCACAUCAAUAUGCAGGACAAUGCAUGUGCAGUUAACAAAUAUCUGCAUCUACUCGCAAAAAUGCUCAGCUGUGUAUUUUAGAGAGCUCCCCAUUAAGCACCAUAAAAGCUGCUUCUUUUGGCAUGCUGAGAAGAAGACCAUGAUUUCAUUCGUGGCCUUCAAGUUCUGUUAUUCUUCUAGAAUUUUGGGUUGCCUCAUCUGUUUUUUGCAUCAAAAGACAAAUUUUUAAACCCAAAUUAAGAGGUGACAAAAUAAAAAUCCAGUAGAAUACAGUAUCAUGAAACAACUGAAUUAUGAACCAAUUCCCAAAGGCGGGAAAGCUUUCAGCAUGCCUUCCAUGCUUCCUAUGAUGAUGACUUUGCUGUAAAGCAGUAAAGUAUAUGCUAUGUCUUAGGGCCUGUUUGGAUAUUCCCACAGCAUUGGGCUGAAAAUCCUAUAGGAAUGGAGCUUGUUGGUCCAUCUAUCUUGCAUUUUCUAAGAGAUUGUCCAAACCUAGCCCAGAUCCUAGCCUUUAGGCUACAGGAAGAAGAAAAGAACAUAUAGGGUCUUUAUUUUCUUCCCACAAGAUUUGGGUUGGGUGGUAAUUGGUUGAUAUAGGGCAAUGCUUAAAUGGAUGGCCUAAUCCAUGAAUCUUAUAGGAUUUUCAGCCCAAUCUUGUAAGAAUACCCAAACAGGCCCUUAGAAAAGUUAAUGUCAAGUUGUUUUGGCAGCUGCAACAGUUUUAAUCAGUAUGCCUGUGAAGGGGAAUAUCUAAUGGAUGGAAAGGUUUUAAUUAGUAUGUUUGUAAAGAGCAUAUCCAAUCGCGGGUGAAAAGACUAUCCAAACCUAGCUUAUAAAUGCAUUACUUUUAUGCCAAGAUUGAUAAAUAGGCUAGCCCUUUUGGCUAUGCCUUGUCUUUGAAGACGAAAAAGGUUUUACAGGCAUAUGUACUGGAGCGGGGAUAGGCCGAUGGCUGGAAGGCUACUGAACGUCAUUCUCAAAGAAAUCCCAUGAGGUUAAGUUUCAGAUCUAAUGAUUGUUUUAUAUGUUUCUCUGAAUCAGGUUUGAUUUGUCCAAGAAAACCCAACAGAUGCACACAUAUGGAGCGCACUAGAGGUAUCAACUCCUCAACAAACUUUUAUUAAUUUGAUUUUGCUCGCAUCCAUAAUCUAAUGUUAGCAAAAAAAUAAAAGAAAAAUCAUAUUCUAGUGACUACAUCACACUGCUUUACCUUGCAGAAAGAAAUAAGCAAAAUUAUAUCAUACCAGGAUUCUCGUCAUCAUUUUGGGAUGUGAAAAAUGGCGUAAGAUAAUGUCUAUCUAAUGCAGUCAAAGAGGCAGUGCUGCAGAGAAAUUUAGAAAUAAUAUUGGUCAACAAGUGGAUAACAAGCAUAUGAAGAAGGAAAAAUCUAAGAACUGGUAACUUGUAAAGAUACUUGUGAAACUCUUUAAGUGUCAUCUGCAGCUUGCUUCCGGAUGAAGUUCCCUCAUCAUAUGAUGGUCCAGUGGAGCCAUCUGUCCCCAAACUCAUAUGCUAAUAAUUUCAUCAAAAAGGAAGGCUGAUGAGAUUAAGUGCAGGAACAGCGCAGCACAAAAACAGAAAACCAUGAUUUUGCAGUAUAUUUCUCAACAGGCAAUAAAUAAAUUGAGGGAAGCAAUCUUGAGUUUCUGUGAGAUUUUCAACAAGAAAUAUGAUAAGAAUUUGUUUAAAUAGAUUAAAAGCAUCCUAGGUGCUAAAAGAAGUUAAUGAAUGGAGAGAAUCCAUCCUAAAUCUGCAAGUGAACUAGAAGGUGCAUUCAUUAUUGUAAACAAAAGGCAUCUUCUAGUAGCUGUGAAGGUCAUAAAAUUCUGUGUGGCAAGGAACAGUGGUUUUGGCAAAUUGACAGAGUAUACGCUUGAAAAUAUAUUGAAAGAUUAAGAAAAACAAGAACCAGCAUAUCAAAUAAGCAUAAGGAAUCCGAGAAGCAUUCAUGUUACAAUUUUUUUCACAUCAAGGAACAUUGGUUUUGGCAAAUUGUUAGGGUAGUCAUACACUCCAAAAUAUAUUGGAACAUUACACAUAUUGAAUAAGCAUAAAGAAACUGAGUAGCAUUAAUUAUACACUUCCAGAAACUUACAUCUCCUAAUCGACCAUUGUGACCAUCACCUACAACUUUUAAAGCUUCAAGCAUUGUGCCUGUUGAGCCUCCAAUCAAAAGCACCUGCAUUGCCCAAGAGGUUAAAGUACUUGGUCUUGACGAUGGAAGAAAGGAUGAGCUAGGGUAUAUCAUCCUAGUAAAAAGCUACUAAACCUUGAAAGCAAAAUGUGGAUGACCAUAAUAAAUUAUUUUGUGAGCUCUUAUUUUCAGUUGGGGGUAAGCCAAAUAGACAGGCUGUACAGAUGUUUGCUGCAAUUGCUACUUCCAACACCACCGUUUUCCACACACAGGCUUGCUGCAGCAUAUAGAACAGAAAUUUAAGUUCCACAUCAUCACUUUAAUGAGGAUCGGCUAAGAAAAUUACAGGAGUGCCCCUCAAAAGACAAUAUAGUGGGAAAAUUCAUGGAGACUCCUAUUGCAUUGCACUUGGCAAAAUUCAAGUCAGGUUUCACUUGUUUCCAAACAAAACCAGUUGGUAUUUGGUCGGACACAUGGUUUCAACCAAAAUUUACAAACAAAACCAGUUGGCAUUUGGCCGGACACAUGGUUUCAAUCAAAAUUUACAUUGAUGUUGUCUUCUGCAUACCACUAUUAUUUCAUAAAAGCACUACCAGGAUGUCCUAAAAAUUUAGAGUAUCAUAUAUCUUCAUAACAUAGUCUAAUAGUAAAAUUAUUUUUGGAAUAAAUUUUCAUGUUUUAUUAGUAAUAUUCUUUUUCUUGUUUUAAAUUUUUAAAGAUUAGUUGUCUAGUUUUGUAUUGAAUUGGUCUGACAUAUCCAAAACAAAAAGUAAGACAUUGAAAAAUAUUGGUCCAAAACUUGAUCACAUGCUUAAUAGCAAAAUAUGAAACCUUGGAUUCCUCUCCCUGACAAUCUUAUCAGACCUGGAGUAACUCUCUCAAGGGUAGAUAUGAAUAGCAAGGUCACAGAAAGUACUCAAGAACCUUUCUUAUUGUGUCCUCACAACUUCUAUUGGCUCUCUACACCCUUCCUUGUACUAUGAACUCAUAUGCACCACUAAAAACUAAAAACAAACAAACAAACAAACAAACAAAAUGCAAUCUUAGCCAGAUUAUUCUUGACAUCAUCUCCCUCAUUCUAGCCGUUAGCAGCAGGAAACUUUCACUUAAGAGUAAAUUACCUGCUUUGGAAGCUCCCCAAAAACUUUAACCAGCAUCUGCUUCCUAGGCGCUUCCUUAUUUAAAGAGUUUUUAAAAUGUUUGCUUCCCUGUACCCACACCACUCACUCCCACACUCGUUCCUGAUUCUGGCAAGUGGCAACUAAGUCCUAGCCUCUUUGAAUGCUCAAAUGUAUCUUUUAUCUUUCUCUGGGUGAGGCGAGUCCGACGCACUUUUAUCAACGUCAACCUGUCAAUUGGUUUUGCACAAAAUUGGUUUACCGAUUACUUUUGGAGGUUGAUCAGAACACGAUCCAACCACUGCCACACUUAAUUCAGUGUCUGCCUAUAUGUAUCUGUAUAUGCACAUGGUAUGCACAUGCAUCUCAAACUAUCUAUAUAUAAGCAUAUACAUAUGUCUACCGUUUGGAAGAAGAUAGAGAAAACAGGGACAAAAACAGUAAGUAAAAAAGGAGAGGCAUCCUAUGUAGAGUAUCUUCUGUAAAAAUAAAGAUAUCUUCAUCAAUCCACAUUAUUGUUGUGAAAAGAGCAUGUCCAAAUGUAUUAGCAUUCUUUCCAAACCUGAAUCCCACAAUUAAAACUCUCUCGGACCAACCAAGACUAAUAGUUACUUGGUUCAUGGGGGCAUGUACUGAGAUUUUCACUCCUUGGAUGCUGUUAAUUUUGAUGUGAUGGGUCCUGGAACCAUGUUUACAGGCUAAUGGUUAAUCGAACCAUUUCCCAGAUUUAGUCCAGUCUGCUGGUCGCAUUCCGCUGUCCAGCAACCAAAUUCAGGUCAGGAAAAUGAGUUACCAUUUUUUUUCUAUGUUAAGUGUAUCUCUGCUUAUUUUUAUAGUAAUGAUGUGAAAACUAUUUCACCAGCUAAGCAAAUCUGGUGCAGAUGGAAAUGAAAAUAUCAAUUGUAUUGUGCAAGGGAGAGAUUUGAUUGUAUUUGAAAAGCCAUCAAUUCAUGUUGGUUACAUGAAUCCUGCAUCACCAUUUGUUCCUAUACAGGUCUAGCAUUCAAAAUUAUAAGUUCCUUAAGAAUUAAGAUCAUUCCCACCGCCCAUCCAAGCAUCAGUUUUCUCAGUUCGCUCCCUCUCCUCCAAUCCUUCAACAUAUACCCAAGAUGGACCCACUCUUAUGUCCAAAACAUCUUGAUUACUUUUCACUCAAUAUAUGUUUGUCGGUGCACCUCUUAACCUUCUAAUAAUGGACUCCAUAAGUCAUUAUUAUUUUGAGUCUCCUAGCUUUACCACAAAUCAGACCCUGCAACUUCGUUGCAGCAUACCUUAGCUAUACUCGACAUUAAAACUAUUCUAUUAGUUGUUUCACAAGAAAAGAAAAAAUGAAGUAUUAUUCAGCCUCGAGAAUUUUUCUCAUGCAACGAAAAAGUUUAGAGAUAUAUUUUCAGUGUAUAAUCUUUUCCAGCUCGAGUAAAAACUUGCCAGCAAAAAUGCUUACUGUUAAAACAACAAUAGCAGUGGUAGCAGUGAAGAUUGUCUGGCCAUGUCCAUCAGGGAGAUCAUGGACUGCUUGCAGAGCAAGGGCAAAAGCCAUUGCCCCUCGAAGUCCUGGUUGUCCAUAAAAUCACUAAUCAUCGAGAAGAAACCGAAAAAUUCCAAACCUAUGAUACCUUUUUCAUCAAAUAUCUCUGUAGAGACUAACUGAACCUAUAAUAACAGCAUAUCAACUUACCACUAUACCAAAGUGCCUUCUGAUGUUGCAUAGGUAUUUGCCGAUUUGCUGGUCUCACCAAGUUGACCAGGUAAGCACAAGAAAAGACAUUUGUAGCUCUUUCAAAACAAAGAAAAUAAGAGUCAUUUGACAUGAUUUUAUCGAAGAAUGUUCAAAUUGAAUCAAUAUAAAUUGGAGUUCGUCCUUAUAAAGCAGACAAUGACUAAAGACAGUUCUUCAUAUGGUUUGAAACAUCCAAAAACCAUUUUGUUAUAAGUUAAAAUUAAAUGAGCAUGGGCAUGCUACCAAAGGAAAAUGUAUUGAAAUCAAAGCACUGUAAAUGCAUGAUUCACGAUAUCAAUUUAUUACCUUCUAACAAAUAACACUUAAUCAAUUUGAGACUUGAUAAUAUACAAGUCAAAGUACUAAAAAUCAUACAAGGCAAGUAGGCAGUUUGGAAAGACAAAAUGGAGAUACCAGAUUCUAUGCUUAUAAUGAAUUUUUCUUAGUAAAAUCUACCAUUUAAUGCAGGCAUAUGCUAUAUACAACAAAAUCAAUUUAUAACUGACAAGAUUUAUUCUCAUCUACUUGGGGCCAGAUUCAUGAAGUUUCUCCAUCUUCUGUUGCUAUUAAGUGCUGUAACAUGCAUAAAAUUCUGCAAAUCUAAGGGUAGAUUGCAGACCUUUUAGUAGAGAAACAUUUUAUUUACAAAAUUCAAAUGACAGCUAGAAUUUCAUCUUUCAUGUGUCUUCAAUAUCAUAAAUCAUUAUCUUGCCAAGCAGACUCAAAAAAGAAGAAGAAGAAGAAGAAGAAGAAGAAGAUAAUUUGGCCCCAAAACAGAAAACUGUAACAUAGAAGCAAAGCAAAGUCGGCUAUAUUUAAGUCAAAAUCACUAGCAAGCAACACGAGUUGUGCGAUGAAGGGUAAGGCACACAAAAGUUGCUUAAUGAUAAAGAGAAAUACAGCAUAUUUAAAUGAUUUGUAAUAGAUUUGUGAGUUAAUACCUUGCAACACCUAUAAACAGCUGGGUCAAUCAUUAGGUGAAAAGUUAAGGAGUGAUGAAAUAAUGCUGUGGAAUAAAUUCUUAAUAUCAGUCCUAUCUGCAUACUGAAUGUUUGAAAGGAUACAAUUGAGAAAAAGAUGAACCCAAUGUGGGACCAGCUUUGUUGUUCCAUCGCAAUGUCAAAGCCCAUAUAUAUGAAUCUGGAGGUAAAAUUAACCAACGAGAAAAUACGGCAAUAUGAUUAACAUUUGAGUUUUAAAAACACAUCAAUAAAACCAAUAAAAUUUUAAUAAUUUAAUUUGUAAUUUCCCUUACACAAAAGCUUCUGCUAAAGAUGAAAGCAAAUGGAAAAAAGCAGAAGCAAAAUGUUGAGAUUUUUCUGACAAAUUUGAGAAUGUAUAGCGCUUCAUGACCUGAUAAACAGGACAAAAAUCUUAAAUUUAUUGCAGACCAAUUCUUGGGGAACCAAAAAGCACCAAAUAUUACUUACAAUUCCAGUGAACAGUAUUGAAACUAUACCGGACAAGCCAAGACCUUCAGCUAGCAUGUACCUGUAAGUAAUAGUCCAAAAUCAGAUAAAAUCAUAAUAAAUCCAUAACCUUCAGAUGCAACUGAAAGCAAAAAUUAAUGGUCCAGGAAUGACUUACGAAAAGUAAGGGAAAAGGACAAAGAGACAGCUCUCCAAAUUAUGAAGACUGGAAAUAGCAAACAAUUUGGACAUGGAAAUCAGUUUCCUCUAACAUUAUGUUACUGAUAUCAGUCAAUAGAAAAUAUUUACAAAAUAGAAAGAUAAAGACUGUCGUACUAACUUUUCAACAUUCAGCCCAGCAUACUUAAAGAGGUACUGAGUAGUUAAGGUUUCUCAACAUAUUUUGUUCCAUCACAAAAAAAAAAAAAAUAGAAUAAGGCUGAAUGCUUCAUCAAUUUUCAUCCCAAGUUUCAUGAAAAAGAACUGGGUGAUAUUUAAUAUUUGCUGUUAUGAACUAGAAGGAAUGAUGCUUGCAUAGAACAUCAAUAUGCAGGACAAUGCAUGUGCAGUUAACAAAUAUCUGCAUCUACUCGCUGCUCAGCUGUGUAGAGAGCAUUAAGCUAAAAGCUGCUUCUUUUGGCAUGCUGAGAAGAAGACCAUGAUUUCACGUGGCCUUCAAGUUCUGUUAUUCUUCUAGAAUUUUGGGUUGCCUCAUCAGGAUUCUCGUCAUCAUUUGGGAUGUGAAAAUGGCGUAAGAUAAUGUCUAUCUAAUGCAGUCAAAGAGGCAGUGCUGUGAAACUCUUUAAGUGUCAUCUGCAGCUUGCUUCCGGAUGAAGUUCCCUCAUCAUAUGAUGGUCCAGUGGAGCCAUCUGUCCCCAAACUCUCAUCUCCUAAUCGACCAUUGUGACCAUCACCAACAACUUUUAAAGCUUCAAGCAUUGUGCCUGUUGAGCCUCCAAUCAAAAGCACCUUAAAUAGACAGGCUGUACAGAUGUUUGCUGCAAUUGCUACUUCCAACACCACCGUUUUCCACACACAGGCUUGUNNNNNNNNNNNNNNNNNNNNNNNNNNNGGGCUACCCUAAGAUGAGCAGCAAGUUUAUGCUGGACUAUAUAGCAUGAUGAAGAAGUCUGACACAUACAUAAAGAGCAUGUUAUGUUCUAGAAGACAUGCCUCCACAAUGGAAACUUGAAGAAGAAAGAAAAGCCUUCAUUGACUUCAGGCCAAAGAAUAUUCUCUGAGUAAAUAACUACUAACAGAUUGACUAGUAUACUGUACCUUGUAUAUGGGUUCCUACUCGACUAUAAGUUCAUGAUCAUAUUAUUUUCCAUAAAUUAUAGACCUACUUACACAAUAUUCUUACCCUUAUUUGAUGGUUACCCUACCUCUACAAGAUUUUUCCAAGUAAAAUUGUGUUUAGCACCAGGUAAAUAACAGGAUCACUGGCUGAUCCUACAGUUCAGUUAAGUAAAUAAAUCCUCUCCUGAAUCUUUGCUCUAGUCGUCGCUCGUAGACAGCCAAGAAGGUUGUUAAGCCAUGAUUCAAUUUAUCGCUCCAGAAAACAAUUAUAAUAAGAUCAUUUGCCAAGAUUCUCUCAUAGCCCUCUGUAGUUGUAUUUUUAUCAUCAUUUCUCUUUGAUAGGUUGGAUUUUUUGGAGCUCCAUCACGAUCUACAUCCUGCUUCGUCUUUUGGAAAACCUUUAAUAUCCAAAACCUUCAUAUGAUAAGUGUCAUGUGUAAAUGAUGCAUUAACCAUAGCACUGAAAUGCUGCCAAAUUUCUUCAGAAUAUUAUUAUACCUCCUUUCAAGGGUCAACUAGUCAACCAAGUAUGACCACUAAUAUGUAGAAUGAACUAAGAAUCAUGUGUCAUUCACACAAAACAAGAGAGAAUGUGAAAACAAAAACAAUACAUAAGAACAAAAUAUUCAUGAAAGAUAAAAAUUUAAACAAUUUUGCAGACAUCUGUUUUGAGAAAAGGAUAUAAGAGCAGAAAUGAAUCCAACUCCGACCCCUGUAAAACCAGAUAUCUGUUAGAAUCAUUGAAAGAUGACAGUGGGAAUAAGUCCAGAAAUAGUUGAAGCAAACUGAAGACCAGAAAAGUUAGACUUAAGGACAACUUAUCAUGACAACAUGAAAAUUGGAAGAGAGAUCUUGCAGACAUUAUCAAUGAAAACAAGUCCAUAUUUUACCAAGGAAGUGUAAAUUUCUUAUUUAGUCUGGGAGCCAAUUAUGCUAUACCAUGUGUGUCCUUAUCCUUUAUAGUUACUUAUUGCAAGCAAUCAUAAACAACAGCCUGGUCAUGAUACAAACAUUAACAAAAUUUUCAGAAGUCCAGACAAAUUCCUCAACUUUCUCAUAAUACUCUUAUGGAUGAACAGUUAGUUUUAUCACAAAAUGUAAGAGAUAAUGAAACUAUUCAAGCAAAUAGAAGGAGGAUAGCAGCAACAUCAUCACAUCAGUGAAAUAUGAAAUGAUCUUGGUGACUCCCCGAAUUAAUACUUGCACACCCGCAUUAGCAGCCCCCUCCUGAUUUGGCAGUAUUCCUUUUCUCAUCUACCACCAAGGUUAUAUUGACAUGGGCACAGAAGGAAGUUAUAACAUGAGUCUGUCAAUCUGAUUCAGCAAGAGCAGAUAUCAGGAUCCAUGGACUCAUCCAUAAUUAGGAGCGGACAUCAUGCAAAGAUCUCAUGAUCGUUUUCUAGUUCAUGAUUAACUAUUUAGUUACUUUUGGCAUGAAAAAUAAGUUCUACCGGGAAAAAAUAUUUUAAAUGCUCGAAAAAUAAUGAAAGAGUUAAUUAGAAACUAGAAAACAAGCAGCAAAGUUCUUUGCAUUAAGGACUAGUACCCCUAUCCUAACAUCUUGCUCUUACAAAAUCUGAUUGCCAGAUUCAUGCCAAGCUGUCCCCUCAUGCUCGUGUCUGCACACACAUAUGCACACAUUUUCAUGUUGAAUGCACUAUUUAUUCAUCUCUGUUGUUCCUAAGCUGCCAGAAACAAAUUGCCUCUAAUAACAAACCAGUGCAUCCAAAUUUUGGUAGGAGUCUGGGCGCUGCAUCACAAUAUACUUGAGGUAACCCUUAGAAAAUAUGGAUAGCACAGUGACAGGAUCAGUUGCAGAUAUAAGAGCACCAAACAUCAGGCAUUCGACCAGUGGCAGUCUAUACAUGAGAUAUGUUAACCCACCAAGGUAUACUAAAACACCUGUAACAAUUGAAGCAACAAAAGUCCCCAGAAUAGCAAAUGUGACGAUAGCUCCAAAAUUUGAAAAGAAGGGUUUCGGUGCUAAACUAAAGCCUGACCGAAAGAUAAUUGGAGGCAGCAGGAAUAGGAAGAAGAAUUCUUCAUGGAAAUUGAACCAUCCCCUAAUGUUGGUUUCUGUAUUUGAUAUAUUAGCAAGUCCUCCAACAAUUAAGCCGAUGAGAAGGGAGGCGCUGGCCUCCGGGAGGUAGGAGAUUUUGUGGCGGCGGAGGACGUGGCCGAGGACGAAGGCCAACACCAGCAUCGAGAUCUGCAGCAGGAUCCCCACCCCCGCUGCCUGCUCCUCCUUCUCCGGCGGGGCCGGUGGCGGCGGAGGCGGUGCUCCCACCGGUUUAGAAGGAUGUCUUCAAUGCAUCUAAGAAAGCAGAUUGUGGAUCAAAGAGAGUGGUUGAGAAAGACUGGAGAAGCAAGCAAAACUAUUUGCCCUAAACAUGGUCUGCUGUACCGGUUGGUACGGGUCGGUACCGGACCCUCCCGGUACGGUACAGCUACAUAUUUCGGUAUCGAACCGUACCGGCCCGUACCGGCCGGUACCGAUACGUACCGGCCCGUACCGACCGGUACCGAUACGCACCAGCCCGUACCGACCGGUACCGACUGGUACCGACCCAUACCGACUUAGUACCGGCCCGUACCAAACCGGUACCGGCCCGAACCGACCAGUCCGUACCGGCUCCAAAUUUUUUUUGGUUUUUAGCCCCAUCGGUACAGUACCGGUUCGGCUCGGUUUGGUUCGGUACCUUACCGGUAUUGAUGCCCACCGGUACGUCGGUACAGUCGGUACCGCGUACUUGGCCCUAAAAUCUUGGAAUAGUGUGAACCAUCUUUUACUGAUUGUGAAAUACAAUACAUGGAUGUAUUCAAAUUUCAAUUCCAACUCAUUAUUGGCGCUGACUCCCAUUGCAAGAAAACUCAAUAUCUGGUUGUUUGCAUGAGAAAAUGUUACUCCUGUAUAUCGUGCCAGGGUGUGUCCGCACCUUCCCCUAACCUUAGCCCUAUAAUCCAUAAUAUAUCACAUCCAACUAAGACCAAGUUGAUCAGUCAAGUAGCCUGAUAGAGUGGUCCAUUGAGUCAAUGUUCUCACAGGCCAACAUUAUUAUAUUUUCACAGUUCUAGAUACUCAAGCACGAUGCAGGAAGCAGAAGGUCCAUAGAUGAAUGGACAUAAUAUGCAGUUAAAUGAAGCUCUAGUAAUGAACUAGAUCAUAUAAACUAUUUCAACAAAACUUGUAAACCUUUUAUGCAUCCAUUUCCAAAAACUCUAACUUUGAUAUACCCCUUACAAACAUUAAAUGUUGCUUCUAGUUCAUAAGAUGAAAUUUUAACUAGAUUAUUGCAGUUAUUAGGAAGAAAGUAAAUUGAGAACUCAUGAGGCAUCUCACUUGAAAACACAAAGCAGAACCAUGACCCACUAGGUGUGCAUAUUUUCUUAUGCUGGGGGGAAGGUGGUGUCUUAGUACUCAGAAAAGUAAAAAUGAAUUAAGAUCAGAAAAUAGUGAAGACUAAUAGUCAACAUUAACCUGAAGACAAUGAGCCAACAAAUGUCUCAAGAAAACUCAGAAUAACCAACAAUAAGUUUUGUCCUGAUGAAUCAUUACUUCUUACAGAUGCCAUUGUCCUGGAGAACAAAGCAAUUGAGUUAAAAACAAAAGAUAAGGUGCAGUGCUCAGAGCAAUCUCAAUUAGUGACACAUACCUGUACAAGGAAAUUGCCACCUUCAACAAUACCACCAUAGAUUAGGAGAAGAGACAAGAAACAUACAAUAUCAAUUCAUGUAUAUAACCAUGCAACAGAAAGAAGCAACUGCUUUCUAGAUAACUAAGAUAUAUACGUACUGCAUCAUUUAGAACAGAUUCUCCAAAAACCAAGGCAUAGAGGUUCAUGUCAGUUCCAAGUUCCUGUGUACACAAAAAAACAAACAUGUAUAAAGAAAAUAUAAAAAAACAAGACAAAGAUUGUAAACUACAAUCAAAUAUACACUUGAAUGCUACUGUUUUUUUUCCCUUUUAGAAAAUGGCAGCCUUCAACCAACAUUAAAAUUUAUUUAUGGUUACAGCCGAUGGCUCUUCAUAUUGAUGGCAGAAUUGGCAUAUCAACUGCUCAAAGGAUGAAAGCUAUAUUUUAAAAGCAAACACACAUUUUGAGAUCUCAGUUCUCAAGUAAGGAGUAGUUUGGGGAAGACAAGAAAUUAUUCCCGGAAUCUAAAACAUAAUUUGUCAUUAAGAAAAAUUUAAUUUUACACUUCAAAUUCUCUGAGUGUAAUAUUAAGCUCUAUAGAAGGGGAUAGAAUGAGGAGUCCUCGGCCCUUAUUAAUGUGAUGUGGAAAAAAUUGUUUAAAAACAAAAUGCACGGAAUACUGUCUCAAAUGUAAUCUCUUAGCAUUGUUGAAAACCCACUUUGACAAAGAAUUGGGAGUCCCAUGUUACUCAAGGGCAUAUACUAUCAUGACCCAGAGACGAUUCACACAAAUGCUCUUCCUUUCCUCUAUAAAUCCCAGCACAUUACAUGAGGAAUCACUUGCCAAGCCAAUUUAAGCAUCAUAUCUUUGGUGGUUAUCUGAAAAAUGUCUUAAGAAUUAUGAAAAUAAAUGGUGAAGAAAGGACUUAAAGCCAAAUUCCCAAGUAGCAAUCUAUAUGUGAUUAUAUUGGUGUUGCAAUGUACAGAAUAUAGAUAGAAAUAGCAGUAUUAUUGGAACAGAGGAUAAGAAACGUAGGCAUAUUCUAAUAGUUCUUUUCUGAUCUGACUUCAUCAUUGUCAAGAUUCAAGGCCUUUAGGCAAGGCAACAAGAAUCAAUCUUGAGAAGCUUUAAAGGCUGAAAUCAAACAAGUCAACAAUCAUGGCCUCCAGAAAACUGAUGCCAGGAUUUUUCCUUGAAGGAAAAUAGCUAAAGCCAUGAAAUUAACAGGACAGAAAAUGCUAAAAAUGAAAGCACAGAGACACCUGAAAUAUAGAUAGCACGGUGACAGGAUCAGUUGCUGAUAUAAGAGCACCAAACAUUAGGCUUUCGCCCAGAGGCAGUCUAUACAUGAGAUAUGUUAACCCACCAAGGUAUCUGCACAAGACAAGAUAAUACAAUAAAGGUUCCCCAACACGAAAGCUUAACUUACCAAAAAGAUUGUUAUGGUUAAAUAGAAAUUCUUACACUAAAACACCUGUAACAACUGAGGCAAUUAAAGUUCCCAAAAGAGCAAAUGUGAUGAUAGCUCCAAAAUUUGAAAAGAAGGGUUUCUGUCAAGGCAAAUACAGUGGGUAAAUCAGACAAAAUUAUUUGCAAGACCAGCAUCUAUAGUAUAGAGCAGCUUUUUCAACACUUACCGGUGCUAAGCUAAAACCUGACUGAGUAGAAUAAGUCAAGGCAAAAAUAAACAAUUUAAGGCUUCAAAUGUGUUUUUAAUUAUGUUUAAAAAUAUAAAACAAAAUCCUCCAUAUAAAGAUUCGAAUGAUAAUGUUAGGAUAUAAUAUAAUUGGAGGUAGCAGGAAUAGGAAGAAGAAUUCCUCAUGGAAAUUGAACCACCCCCUGUGGAAAAAACAAAAUAUAUUGUUCAGUAUCAUGAUAACGGGCACUCUAUUUGCUGGGUUCAGUAUUUAGGAAACAAUAAUAAAAGAACAAACAAAUUACAAACCGAAUGCUGGUUUCUUUAUUUGAUAUGUUAGCCAGUCCUCCAACAAUUAAACCUGUCAUAAUCCAGAAUAAAAUUAAUGAGUCUGUUUUGCCACCAAACCACUUUCACAUUUGAAUAGAAAAGCUGCAUGUUUGCUUUCCUUUGAGAACAUCCAUUUGUAUGGGGAUGCAGAUCAGAAGGCCUUCAACAAGAAACAUCGUGCAUACAUUGAAUAAGUGUGCAACUCAUGCAUAUAGGAAUCACAAUUACUUCUCCAAACAUUUCUAUUAAAGACUACCUCCACUAUUACUUCAAGCUCUCCGAAAUCCCUUCUCAAAACUCCCUUUCAUGUUAACUUAAAUUUCGCCCUCUUCCUAAAUCUUCACAUAAAUUAAAGUAUCUCUAUUUACUUGAGCCUCUUCAGAUUUUUGUUGUGCAUUUUCUCAUACUAUAUUAAUCCCUUCAGGUUGUGUGAAGGCUUUUUUUACUACUUUUUGUAUUCAGUUUGCUGUACGAUUUUCUUUCAUAAAGCUGAUUCACUCAUUGCUUCCAUAUGUUUCUUUGCUAUGGGCUUAUUUGUUAGCAUACUUCGGAUGAUGAUUAUAUUUCACGUCAUUUAGGCAUGUUUCGUAUGGCAAGACUAUUCCAAGCCAUAAUUACUUAACAUUACUGGUCAUUCACAGUUUAUAUUGAACUUUAUGUCCUCUGGGUUGUUCAUUUCGAGUCUCUUGGCUGCGACUGAUCAACUUCUAAUGAUUCCAUCGCUCUCUGUUUUGUAAUAUAGACUGAGUUCGCUCCAUCCACUACUCAAAUAAUUUGAUGGGUAGUUUUGUUCCUUAAGACCAUUUCCAGUCAUCCCUAGCUCAUUCCUUCACCUCUCCGUUUCAAUUAUAUUCAUCUCUCUAGAUUGGAAUAUUUUUAUGGUUUUGCUUCAAACCAUCUAGAAAAGCAAGAAACCAAAAUGUGCUUGAAAUUUAUUUCAUCCACAACCAACUAUUCCGCCAUCAUAUUCAAGCCGCAAUCGUCCAAUAAAGAACGUCACCCUCCUCAUUUAAGUAGGAAACCAUCAAUCGAGCAACCAAUAUUAUAGAAAACCAACCUAAAAAACAGCAUCAAGAUGGAUUAAGACCUAACAAUCUAUAUAUCCACCACUCUAUUCGUCUAAGAAUCGAUCAAAUAGAGAGAAGGGGAAGGUUGGGUUACCGAUGAGAAGGGAGGCGCUGGCCUCCGGGAGGUAGUAAAUCUUGUGGCGGCGGAGAACAUGGCCAAGGACGAACGCCAGCACCAGCAUCGAGAUCUGCAGCAGGAUCCCUGCCCCCUCCGCCUGCUGCUCCGUCCCCGGCGGCGUCGGCGCCGGGAGAGGCGGAGGCGGCCCACCCGGUUGCCUCGUCGUGUUCAGCUCCAGCAUCGCCGGUAAUCGUCGGCCGGCGAAACCCAACCCUCUCUCUCUCUCUCUCUCUCUCUCUCUCUCUCNNNNNNNNNNNNNNNNNNNNGUCGUCCGGCCGAACCAACCCUACCUCUCUCUCUCUCUCUCUCUCUCUCUCUAACCCUUUGGCUUUCUUCUUUAGUCUUCUUCUUCUUCUCCUAAAGCCUGGGCGAGAGACGUUUAAAAUCGUCAACCGAGGCGAUCCGCGGAAAAUGGCUAGCUCCCGUGCUGGUGGUUAUAUGCGGUCGCGUAUUCGCUCGUUACUUUCGCCCGGGCGGGAAGUCUUGAAGGAGCUGACGAGAUGAGUCCACGGAUGCAACGGGCGGUUUAUUUGACUUCGCAUAGGAAAUUAUAUGCGGCCUUCUAGAGGGUUUGAUAUUUCCUGAAUCCUGAUCCACGUGGUUAGCAUCUACUGGGAGAAGUUAGUUAGUUGGUCCUCCAAUGCCACUUCCGUGGCCGGAUCGCCGUUUGGACACCGGCUUUCGCGCAAAUUACGGUCUCACGCCGCUUUUAUCUGCUCUUAUGGUCACCGUAGGUGCGACCAGCUACGAUCCAUAUGGAUUUCAAUGGGCGGGGGAUGGAGAGAUGUUUCAGAAAUCAGAAAUGGGAAGGUAAGAAUACCGAAUGGGUCAGAAGGGAUAUGUUCCAUGAUAUCCUUGAUUUGUAUUGUUUAUUCUUCUCUAUAUUUUUAACUUUCCUAUUGUAUUACAUAUCCUAGGAUAGGACAUCUUAGGAGAGAAAUUUUUAUGGCAGCCGAAAGCGCCACAAAAGUGUCUGGUUUCAUUAGCUUUGACCUCGGAAUGAUCCAUGCUAAUUCAUGCGAUAUGCUUUUAUGUUGCAAUGAUGUAUGACGAUGGUGAUGCAUGUGAUAAGAGUUCGAAUGACGGAGUCCAUGGCAUGGUCUCGAAUCAUCAUGUUAUUCUGUUUUCACGCUAUUGUUCUUUAGCUCUAGCAGAGCUUGGUCAUUGGAUGUAAAAAUAAUAAUAAUAAUAAUUUUUUCCUCUCUUUGAGGUAUAGGUACUCUAUGGUACAUAGAUAUUGCACCACAAAAUACUAUUCAGUACUUUAUUACCAUCAUCAAGAGAUGGAUGGCUAUCAAACAAAAUUGUCACCGUUGAUAGUUGUCCAUUUCGUGAUAAUGAUGAUCAAAUGUUACACGGCACUCUAUGGUUCUCUUUCUUUGAGGAUGCUAGGACAAAAAAGGAGAAAGGUAGUUAUUAUUUUUCAACCAAUAGCUAACUAGUUUUUGCCUUAAAUGUUUGGUUCUUUGCCUUCAAUGAUUUGAUAUCCAAUUGUGGGUUCUUGCAUCUCUCAAUAAAAAUGUUUCAUAAAUGAUCCACUCACAAGUAUUCCUCCACAUCCUUUAAUGAUGUGAAGUUCGUUUUGGAGCUCUCCUAUAGGCGUGCAAAGCAUUGCCAUGUUACUAGGUGCAGUUCCAAACUCCCAGAAAAAUAAUUCUAAUGCGAACGGCAUGACAUAUCAACUCUACUGUUAAAAUUGUUUCAUAAAUGAUCCACUUAGCCAUAUUCCUCAACAUUCUAUAGUGAUGGGAGGCCCAUUUUGGAGCUCUUCUCUAGGUGUGUAAAGCAUCGUCAUGUGACAUUAUGCUAGGUCAAGAAACAAAACAUGUGAACGUAAUAACUCCCUCUACAACAAUUUGCAAGCCUAUCUUCUUCUCCAUUCCAUCCAUCAAUAGAAAGUAGAGUGCGGCAUGGAUGAUGCAUAUGUUUUUUUAAUUAAGUACAAUAGGCAUAGUGAGAUAUGAUUUUUAUUUCUAAAAAUUUAAAAUAAAAAUAUUCAAAUAAAAUGAUAAAAAAUAUAAGAAGGACUUGAAUCUUCAACCUUGUGGUUGAAAGCCAUGUUUUAUAAAAUUACCUAGAUAGGAUUAGCAAAAAUAUUAUGCAGAAAAUGUGGAUGAGAUAAUGACAGGGUGGGGAAAUGAGUGGACGGUUAGGGUUAUCUCAUGUAUAGGCACAUUACAAGAGUUGGCAUUAUGCAGUAGAAAACAAAAAUGAAGUUUUGUUUUCCAUGAGAUUUAUUAUACAAUCUUCUAGUUGAUCCUAAAAACAAUGCUAUAAAUAAACUAAUAUAUUCGAGAAUAACUCGGGCUCAUUUUGAUGACAAGCCUACUAUUUAUACUACCUACAAACAUAUUAUAAUCUAAAGGCCAAUACACCAAGGAAGGUACAAGUUGAUGCACUAAAAAUGUAAGUCAAAUGAGCAAGUGUAGGCUCAAAGAAGCGAGAGCUAUCAGCCUAUCACAAGGCCUUAGUGGAGCGGAGUCUAAGGAUGAUAGUUAUAGCCAUCUUACCACUACACAUAACAUCGAAGAAGUAAGGUAAUUAUGCCUAUCUUUCCACUAUCCAUAAUGUAGGAAGAGUAAGAUAGUUACACCUAUCUUUCUAUUACCUAUGAUGACAUGAGAAGAUGGGUAGCACUAUCUAUCAUAUAUGACAAUAGUGGGCCAUGUGGCACAUAAUAGCAAGGACAAGCUUCUAAUAUGAGCAAUAUCAUCUAUCUUACUAUUUAUCAAAAAACCACCUAUAAAUAUUACAUUGUAAUGUUGAGAAUGGAACCUUUCGACCCAUCAAUGAAAUCACUUAUGCUUAUCUUUGUAUUAUUUUUAUUUACUUUUAAAUUCUUGCUCUUAUUUUACUAGUAGGACUCUAAUUUACCUAUAGAAAUAGCCGUAAAAUGCGUUGAUUAUAGCUCCAACUACCUCCUAUCUUGCCAUAUUCUUCAUUCAAAUAGGCAGUGUGUUGUUGAAGGCCAAGACAUCCGGGCUCAUGCUACUUUUAUUUUCAUUCUUUGAUCAUCCUAUUUUCAGCUAAUUUAAUGUGGAUGGCAUGCCUGUAUAUCUGCCAUAGCCUAGUCAUGAGAUUGUCAUCACUCUUCUCUAAUGAGCUAGUUUUCUAGCAUGCCCAUCUUCUCCCUCCAAAAUGAUCAAAGCAAGAGCCAGCACCAACAAGUUUCUUUUAGCAUGUUUGGUGGGACUUGUUAGCAAACAAGUUUUUUUUGGCAUACCAAGUAGAAUAUUUGUAUAGCUACCAUCUUGCCACUAUGGAAGGAGGUUAAUAAAGCAGUUGCGAGUAAAGUGGACACUAUGCUAAGGAGACUGAUGGAGGUUUCAAUGGCGGAAUAGGUUAAGAGACUUGUUUCUAUUAUAAAAAGUUGACAUUAUAAGCUGUAAUAUAUUUUGGUGCACAUUAUAGUGGAAUCAGUCGAUUCUAUCUUUAUGGAAGAUAAAUCGGCUCAUCAUUUAUUACAUCAUGAAAUUGUUAGGGUUUGUAAGAAACAUGACUUUCAAGUUUCUACUUGUUGAAAGAAAGAGAUCAAACCUUAUCUCAUGGAACCCUUGGAAUCUAUAGACCAAGACAAUGAGAAAAUAUCUUAUAGGUGAAUAUAGGAGCAGAUCAAACUGAAUAGGUAACCAAUAAUGCUUCGAUCAAUAUUAGGCCGAUAUUCAAGUUUGAGACAGGCUUCAGCCAUCAUGAUUUGUAGAUGGCUAUUAGAAGAAAUAUUAGUGGAAUAGCCUCAAGUUUGGACCCAUGUACUAGAGCCGGACAUCUCCCUAUAGCAACGGAUGGAGGACAAUAGUUCAACUAGCUUGCUUGCUAUAUAGCCUACCCUUGUUUUAAGGGUUGGUGCAACCAUCUCUUUUUCAUCAGCAGUUGUGCAUGCCAAAUCUAUAAUUUCGGAGGUAUCAACCGUAUUAUUAGGCGUCUUUCCCUCCAAAUUAAUUGUAUCCACCAUAUCCACAAAUUUGGAAGUAAACAUGACGAUAGAUUUUACCUCUACUAAAUCCUUCAUGCUUUUCAAUUCAACCAAGUUGGAUAACAUUCAAUUCCAAAAAUUAGACUAAUGGAUAGGGUGUUAGAUACGUCCCAUCAUCAUCGUAACCGUUGACUGAUAAGAUGUAGAGGCAUUGUUUACAUCGCAUGCUGAUAAAUCAUGAUCCAAAGACCGAGAUAUUAAGAGAGGUGCAAGCUGAAAAACCAAAGGUGCAGAUCGAAUGUAUGUAGUGUAAAUCUAAAAAUGCAAGAGCUAUUAGUCUAUGAUAUAGUUUUAGUGAAGUGAAGUUCAAGGAUGGUAGUUACACCAAUCUUACAUUACUUAUACAUGGGAGAAGUGGAAUAGUUACACCUAUCUUAUCUUCCUUUUACUCAUGAUGUGUGAGGAGUCAAAUACAUCCCAUCAUCAUCCAGACUGUCAACUGAUGGGAUGUAGAGGCAUUAUUUACAUCACAUCCAAACCGAUUGUGAUCUAAAGACCAAAAUACUAAAAGAGGUAGCAAGCUGGAAUACCAAGGGUACAAAUUGCAUGAAUGUGGUGUAAAUCUAAGAAAGCCAGAGCUAUCAGUCUAUGAUGUGACUCUAAUAGAACAAAGUCCAAAGAUGGUAGUUACACCUAUCUUACCAUUACUCAUACAUAAAAGGAGUGAAGUAGUUAUACCUAUCUUCCCACUACCCAUGAUAUAGGGGAGUGCGGUAGUUACAUCUAUCUUCUCACUACCCAUGAUGUGAGAUGAAGCGCAGCACUACCUAUCAUAUAUGGCAAUAGUAGGCCAUGUGGCACAUAAUAACAAGUGUCUAAGAUAAGUAAGGGGCACUCAUCUUAUCAUUUACGGGAAGUUGCUUAUAAAUAUCAGGUUAUAUUUUUAAGAAAGGGACCUUUCAACCCACCACUGAAUUGGUUUAUCUUUAUUUUUUACUUAUCUUUACUUAUCUUUAAAAUUUUUGCUCUUAGAUUACCAGUAGAAUUUGAAUUUACUUGUAUAAGCAGUAGUAGAAUACUUUGAUUAUAGCUCUGACUACCUCUAUCCUAUCAUAUCCUUCUUCUUUCAAAUGAGUGGCAUAACAUUAGUAAAAGUUCUUGAAGUCAAAGCACUUGGACCUAUGCUACUUCACCAUCAUCCUUUGACCAUCAUAUUUUCGGCUAAUUCAAUGCUGCUCAUGCAUCUACCACAGUCUAGUUACAAAAUUUGUCCUACUAGUGAACCAUUCUGGCACAUUUAUCUUUCCCCUCUUGAUGAUCGAAGCUAAUAAGUUUUUUUUUUUUGGCAUGCUUGGUGGGACUUGUUAGCAAACAUUUGUAAAGAUUGUUCAUAUGGAAAAUGAGCCAAGCACAAAUACCUUUUAGAGUCUGAUCAUAAAAUGAUCAUUGGUCUCACAAAAAUAUAAUAAAAAUGAUCAUUGGUCUCACAAAAAUAUAGUAAAAGUUUUUUUAGUUGAGAUUAAAAACCAAAAGGGCUUGAAAUAUGUUAGUGUCACGCCCCGAACUCGGAUCCGUGACACGGCCAUGCUAUUGCCAACUACCGCCCACAAUAGCACGAAGCCUCAUAUACGAAUAAUAGGAUAGUCAAGUUUCAUAUAUAUAACCUUACCAGUAUAACUUACUAGAUAGUUCAGUGUACAGAGCUUCUAUAACAGUUUAUAUACUCAAAAUGUAUGUUUUAUUCAAAAAGAAACCUUGAUACAUAAAGUGUCUCUUUCCGCUAUCACUGGCGGUGAUUAGAAAGAAAAAUGUAAAUAAACGAGUAUGAGCUACACGGCUCAGUAAGUAAUCAUGCAUAAUCUUACCGGAUCAAACAUAAUGCUAAACAUAUUUAUGCAAAGUUUGAGAAGCUAACAUAUAUAUCAAAUACAAUUUUUCAAAUAUACAAUAUAUUCAAACCGAGCUAUAAAUCAAUGCAUGUACAAUCAUAUAAUUUUAUAAACAAGAUUAUGCAUCAUAAAAUUGUGCCAUUAUUCCAUGAUUUGAAAUCCAUGCUCUCAGAUAGUAGUGUAGCUAUGGCCGCUCUUAACUCCCACGGCAAUGAUCAGUAUGCCUAGAUAUUGUUACCCACUGGCGGGGUCCAUGUUGCUCAGUUAUUCUUGCCCACUGGCGGGGGCCAUAUGCGUAUGCCAAGUUAUUAUACCCACUGGCGGGGGCCCAUGCAUAGCAUCUGAGAGUCAUAAAUCAUAACUUUCAUAAAUCAUACAUUACAAGUCAUUUGNNNNNNNNNNNNNNNNNNNNNNNNNNNNNNNNNNNNNNNNNNNNNNNNNNNNNNNNNNNNNNNNNNNNNNNNNNNNNNNNNNNNNNNNNNNNNNNNNNNNNNNNNNNNNNNNNNNNNNNNNNNNNNNNNNNNNNNNNNNNNNNNNNNNNNNNNNNNNNNNNNNNNNNNNNNNNNNNNNNNNNNNNNNNNNNNNNNNNNNNNNNNNNNNNNNNNNNNNNNNNNNNNNNNNNNNNNNNNNNNNNNNNNNNNNNNNNNNNNNNNNNNNNNNNNNNNNNNNNNNNNNNNNNNNNNNNNNNNNNNNNNNNNNNNNGGACCCAGACAAUGAUGGUCUUGAGUCUUUAUCGCCACGACCAGCUAUUAUUGUCCAGGUUGACCUGCCAAAAGAAAAGAAGAUACAGUGAUAACAAUCAUGAAUACACAGACUGUUCUAGAACUUUAGUGUCAUGUACAUCUUACAGCAAUGAUAUGGCUGAGUCUGACCAAGUAUCAUCUUUGUCUCUGGAACUCCAGGAAUUCUGACACUUCAUAUCAGACCACAACUGUAAAUUUAUAUGAUAUUGUAAGGAUAACAACGACAAAUGAAGCAUUACCUUGAGUAGAAGAAUAACAAUAAGGUACCUCAUGCUCAUAGGCGGUUGAACUUGUUUCUGCUGAUCCAUCUAGUGGGCAGGCAAUUGUUGAAAUGGUCACAGACAAAAAAAAGCAAUGACAGCAAGCUCGGUCACAAACAAAAAAGAAAAGAAUUAACCACAUCCAAGCACAAAGGCAAUGAUAACCAAAGAGAAUUUAAAUGGUCUAAGUGAAACCCCAACAAACUAAAAAACUUCCGAUACAAAUCAAGUUCUACAAAAGAGUUCAAGAAGCACAAUAAACAUAAUAAAUCUCAAGUUCUCGAGUAGUCUAGUUUAGGCCAGUCUCUGUAUUCCAUUGCGUAAACUCUUCAUCAACCUGCAAAUUAAACAAGAAACCAGAAAUUAUAAAUUGAAAAACUAACUACUAAAAGAUAUAUUAAAUACUAUAAAUGAUACUUACAUUUGAANNNNNNNNNNNNNNNNNNNNNNNNNNNNNNNNNNNNNNNNNNNNNNNNNNNNNNNNNNNNNNNNNNNNNNNNNNNNNNNNNNNNNNNNNNNNNNNNNNNNNNNNNNNNNNNNNNNNNNNNNNNNNNNNNNNNNNNNNNNNNNNNNNNNNNNNNNNNNNNNNNNNNNNNNNNNNNNNNNNNNNNNNNNNNNNNNNNNNNNNNNNNNNNNNNNNNNNNNNNNNNNNNNNNNNNNNNNNNNNNNNNNNNNNNNNNNNNNNNNNNNNNNNNNNNNNNNNNNNNNNNNNNNNNNNNNNNNNNNNNNNNNNNNNNNNNNNNNNNNNNNNNNNNNNNNNNNNNNNNNNNNNNNNNNNNNNNNNNNNNNNNNNNNNNNNNNNNNNNNNNNNNNNNNNNNNNNNNNNNNNNNNNNNNNNNNNNNNNNNNNNNNNNNNNNNNNNNNNNNNNNNNNNNNNNNNNNNNNNNNNNNNNNNNNNNNNNNNNNNNNNNNNNNNNNNNNNNNNNNNNNNNNNNNNNNNNNNNNNNNNNNNNNNNNNNNNNNNNNNNNNNNNNNNNNNNNNNNNNNNNNNNNNNNNNNNNNNNNNNNNNNNNNNNNNNNNNNNNNNNNNNNNNNNNNNNNNNNNNNNNNNNNNNNNNNNNNNNNNNNNNNNNNNNNNNNNNNNNNNNNNNNNNNNNNNNNNNNNNNNNNNNNNNNNNNNNNNNNNNNNNNNNNNNNNNNNNNNNNNNNNNNNNNNNNNNNNNNNNNNNNNNNNNNNNNNNNNNNNNNNNNNNNNNNNNNNNNNNNNNNNNNNNNNNNNNNNNNNNNNNNNNNNNNNNNNNNNNNNNNNNNNNNNNNNNNNNNNNNNNNNNNNNNNNNNNNNNNNNNNNNNNNNNNNNNNNNNNNNNNNNNNNNNNNNNNNNNNNNNNNNNNNNGAAGCCGAGCAAGCUUGGAGGGCGACGCCCCUAAAUUGAACGGCCUUCAAUUUCAAAACUCCGUUUAUACGAGUCAAAAAUCCCGGGCCCACGCGUACUCCUGGCCAUCCAACCACCCACGUUUCCUUCGCUUAUAAGUCGUAACGCCACUCCGUUUCGCGCUGCGCCCGGGAAACCAGCUCAAGAGAACAAUCUAGAAGCACCCCUCCCUCCCCCCUAUAUAAGCCACGCCACUCGCAAACCCUAGAUCCCUCUCAAACUCCUCCUGUCUGUCUGCCUCUCUGCGGCUACUCCACUUCUCCCGAUCUCCUCUCCUCGAGCUCUUUUAGCCAUGGCGGCCGAGACGGAGACGUUCGCCUUCCAGGCAGAGAUUAACCAGCUCCUCAGCCUCAUCAUCAACACUUUCUACUCCAACAAGGAGAUCUUCCUUCGCGAGCUCAUCAGCAACUCCUCCGAUGUGAGUCAUUCUCUCUAUGUCGAUCCCUAACUGGGGAUCUCUUUUUCUUUCUUCUUUGAUGCAUCCUUUUUGCUGAUCUGAAACCUAUCAGGCGCUGGACAAGAUCCGGUUCGAGGGCCUCACGGACAAGAGCAAGCUCGACGCCCAGCCGGAGCUCUUCAUUCACAUCGUCCCUGACAAGGCAUCCAACACCCUCUCCAUCAUCGAUAGCGGGGUUGGUAUGACCAAGUCCGAUCUGGUCAACAAUCUCGGUACGAUUGCUAGGUCCGGGACCAAGGAGUUCAUGGAGGCGCUCGCUGCCGGGGCCGAUGUCAGUAUGAUUGGCCAGUUUGGAGUGGGUUUCUACUCUGCCUACCUUGUGGCUGAGAAGGUGGUGGUGACCACCAAGCACAAUGAUGACGAGCAGUACGUGUGGGAGUCCCAGGCCGGUGGGUCGUUCACCGUGACCAGGGAUACCUCCGGGGAGAACCUGGGACGGGGCACCAAGAUCACACUUUUCCUCAAGGAGGAUCAGGUAUUGAAACAG
rnacentral:lncRNA from 1 species